UCUCUAUUGGUGCUGACAGAUGAUUAAUGACCCCCGCCCCCGGACCCCUUUUGAUCGUAGUCCUUUGAUCACUAUUGGUCAUGGCAGAUGUUUAACAACUUUGAAGUUUAGCGCAUGCGUGCUAGGCGUGUUAUGGGUUAUGUCCGUACAUGUCCCCCCUAGAAAAAAACGUAGUGUGUGGAGGGGGCGUGUUUAGCGCAUGCGUGCUAAUGCGUGUUCCGGGGACAUGUCCGUACAUGUGAAUCGGAAGUAGUAGGGCGUGUUUAGCGCAUGCGUGCUAAUGCGUGUUCCGGAGACAUGUCCGUACAUGUCCUAACGAAGAAUCGGAAGUAGUAGGGCGUGGCUAGCGCCUGGGCUAGUCGUAGCCAAAGCGAGCUAACCGGCAUUCUCAACAAGCUACCGUGAGGGGAGCCAUGAUUAACGAGACGUGUGUUAACAUUAGCCCUCAGCUGGUGAAGACUGCUUUUUACCAGAGGUUAAAGAAAUCAACAUUUCAAACUAUGAGUUGGACCUAAGGUCUGAUGCGGAGGACACUGAAUUGACACAUCACGCGUCGACACCGGCUUCUUCGCCAUCCCUACUAUGGGACCUUGGUGAUUCGGAGGCUGAUCUUAAUUAUUCUUCGCAAUCGACUUCGGAUAACGACAUACAGCCGCACGACUGGCGUAGGCCAUUAUCGCGAUCAAGUGAGGAGGACAGUGGCUAUUAUUCACAAUCUAAUGGCCUAUCCACUCCACCAAGAGCAGCAACAGCAUACUUAGCAGAUGCCUCUACACAAACUGACAUAUUCAUUAAAUCAGAAGCUGUCGAUGAGCCAGCCAUCUUAGUUGUUGAGAAUUUUAUAUUUACCCCCUCGGUGAUUCGAU